rnacentral:rRNA from 1 species
CAAGGCGACGAUGCGUAGGGGUUCUGAGAGGAAGGUCCCCCACACUGGUACUGAGACACGGACCAGACUCCUACGGGAGGCAGCAGUGAGGAAUAUUGGUCAAUGGCCGCAGGGCUGAACCAGCCAAGUCGCGUGAGGGAUGACGGUCCUAUGGAUUGUAAACCUCUUUUGUCAGGGAGCAAAGGGCGCCACGUGUGGCGUUUUGCGAGUACCUGAAGAAAAAGCAUCGGCUAACUCCGUGCCAGCAGCCGCGGUAAUACGGAGGAUGCGAGCGUUAUCCGGAUUUAUUGGGUUUAAAGGGUGCGCAGGCGGAAUGUCAAGUCAGCGGUAAAAUUUCGGGGCUCAACCCCGUCGUGCCGUUGAAACUGGCGUUCUUGAGUGAGCGAGAAGUAUGCGGAAUGCGUGGUGUAGCGGUGAAAUGCAUAGAUAUCACGCAGAACUCCGAUUGCGAAGGCAGCAUACCGGCGCUCAACUGACGCUCAUGCACGAAAGCGUGGGUAUCGAACAGGAUUAGAUACCCUGGUAGUCCACGCAGUAAACGAUGAAUACUAACUGUCCGGGCAGAAUGAUGCCUGG